UUAGAUGGCUUCUUGCCAAUGGAGGUUGUAAAAGAAAAUCUGACAUAAAUGAGUCAAAGACUCUAAUUGCCUGCUAAGAGGCUCUGCCACUCAAUUAUACAAGAAGAACAUGAUAUUACUGACAACCUUUUAGCUUUAAUAUCAGAAGAAUGGGAUAAGCUACGUCCUGAUAUCCCUUUUUUAAAAAGCCAAGUUGGUUUAAUCGUUGGCACUCUUAAGAAGCAUUUUCAAAACAAUACUGUGAAGGAUGUAUUACUUAAGUCUCCCUGUCUCAAAUUUAUGAAAGUUGUAAGCUAAUACUAUUGUUAUGCAAGUAAACAUGCACAGUGUUUUUCUAUAAAUGUAAUUUGUCUACAUUUAAAUUUAGCUGCCUUAACUAUUUAACGUGUUUGCGGUCGGCAAAAAAAAUUCGCUUUUGCCGACUCCGUUUCGAUGUUUUAUGGUAAGACCUUUAUAUCUUUUUUGUAAGCAGCGAUUUAUCAUAUUUAGGGAUUUUAAAGAAUAUAAGAGCUGCCAUGCUAGUUUAACUGUUCACAGAAGAGAGGAGUUUACUAUAUGUCUUUGACACGGAUCCAAUUUGUCUCACUUUUGAUCCAAUUUGAUUCUCCGAAUUAAAGGGCCGGUUCUUAGACCAAUUUCUAUUGACCUCUUUGUCGAUAAAAUACUUGCAAAAGACAUACCUGAUUUUUCAUGUGGCGUCACUAUGGUUAUGGCGGCGUAAUUUUUAUUUGAUGUUGCCUAUCCUAAGCAAUUUAUAAAAACACUUAAUUUUAUUGAAACCACAUUAUAUCGAAUAAAGUUAAACUUUUCAAAAUAGCAAAAUAAAUAUCAAAAUUAU